UUAGAUAUUGGCUGUUUCACUCUGGUUAGAGCCACCAACUCAGCGCCAGAAUGUAAAAAAACCCGAUUCACCAUCGGGUUUUUUUAC
rnacentral:antisense_RNA from 1 species